rnacentral:lncRNA from 1 species
CCUAUACCAUGUUAUGACCCAAGACUAGAGGUUUUUAGAGCCCAGUUUAUAAACAAAACCAUUUAAAAAUAAUUUUAGAAUUUGGCCUGUGUAAAUGUUAAUACAAUUUUGGAGCUAGAUCAGGAAUUUUGUCCUUGCAUAAAUGAGUUUGUGGUGCAAUGCAUGACUAGGGCUCUUCUGUGAUAUCAUAAUGAAAAUAACAGUAGUGUCACUGUAGUCCAGGGCACUCCUGAAGACCAUAGGAAAUUUUUUAACAGAGGAAGACAGCCAAGGAAAAGGUGGACAUGUGCUCUAUUAUGCAGAAAAUUUUCUCACCUCAGAAAUCCUCAUGGCAGCAAUUAAAAAAAAAAAAAAAACCCUAAAAAGAAUCACCCCACCAAAACCAACCCAAAACCUCAAGCCAAACUGGGAAUCACUGGAAGCACUGAGAACUAAAACAUGCAGUAGGCUGAGGGAUAAAAUACCAUUAUCCAAAGCAUCCCUUUGUAGGACUGCAGGUGCAGGGUUUCAUGGGCUCUGCCUUCAUUGUGCAAACCAAUUUGCAGCAUUCCCUCAUGCCAAGACACUUAUAUAUGGUUUUAUCAGGGGUGACAGUGAUUUAUUCAAAGAAAAAUUUCUGUCACAUUUCAUGGGAAUGUAAAACUUUCCUCCUUUAAAGCCCAAUGAAGGGAGGUGAAGACAUUUAUUUUUCAAAUGUAAUAAAAUGAACUUUAUAUUAUUAUUUCA